AGUCGAGGGGCAGCAUUCCAGUUUGCUUGCAAACUGGAGAUGGCGACCGGCGCACGGGUGAGUAACACGUAUCCAACCUGCCGAUAACUCGGGGAUAGCCUUUCGAAAGAAAGAUUAAUACCCGAUGGCAUAAUAGAACCGCAUGGUUUGAUUAUUAAAGAAUUUCGGUUAUCGAUGGGGAUGCGUUCCAUUAGGCAGUUGGUGGGGUAACGGCCCACCAAACCUUCGAUGGAUAGGGGUUCUGAGAGGAGGGUCCCCCACAUUGGAACUGAGACACGGUCCAAACUCCUACGGGAGGCAGCAGUGAGGAAUAUUGGUCAAUGGACGAGAGUCUGAACCAGCCAAGUAGCGUGAAGGAUGACUGCCCUAUGGGUUGUAAACUUCUUUUAUAUGGGAAUAAAGUGAUCCACGUGUGGAUUUUUGUAUGUACCAUAUGAAUAAGGAUCGGCUAACUCCGUGCCAGCAGCCGCGGUAAUACGGAGGAUCCGAGCGUUAUCCGGAUUUAUUGGGUUUAAAGGGAGCGUAGGUGGACAGUUAAGUCAGUUGUGAAAGUUUGCGGCUCAACCGUAAAAUUGCAGUUGAUACUGGCUGUCUUGAGUACAGUAGAGGUGGGCGGAAUUCGUGGUGUAGCGGUGAAAUGCUUAGAUAUCACGAAGAACUCCGAUUGCGAAGGCAGCUCACUGGACUGCAACUGACACUGAUGCUCGAAAGUGUGGGUAUCAAACAGGAUUAGAUACCCUGGUAGUCCACACAGUAAACGAUGAAUACUCGCUGUUUGCGAUAUACAGUAAGCGGCCAAGCGAAAGCAUUAAGUAUUCCACCUGGGGAGUACGC
rnacentral:rRNA from 1 species